AUCUACGGCCAUGCCACCCUGAACAAACCCGAUUCUGUCUGAUCUCAGAAGCUAAGCAGGAUUGGGCCUGGUUAGUACUUGGAUGGGAGACUACCUAGGAAGACCAGGUGCUGUAAGCG
rnacentral:rRNA from 1 species